GAAUAGUACAGUUGGUAGGACGCCUGCUUGCUAUGCAGGAGGUUUGGGGUCUAAUCCCACAAUGAACU